AGUGAACGCUGGCGGUAGGCCUAACACAUGCAAGUCGAACGGCAGCACAGUAAGAGCUUGCUCUUACGGGUGGCGAGUGGCGGACGGGUGAGGAAUACAUCGGAAUCUACUUUUUCGUGGGGGAUAACGUAGGGAAACUUACGCUAAUACCGCAUACGACCUACGGGUGAAAGCAGGGGAUCUUCGGACCUUGCGCGAUUGAAUGAGCCGAUGUCGGAUUAGCUAGUUGGCGGGGUAAAGGCCCACCAAGGCGACGAUCCGUAGCUGGUCUGAGAGGAUGAUCAGCCACACUGGAACUGGGACACGGUCCAGACUCCUACGGGAGGCAGCAGUGGGGAAUAUUGGACAAUGGGCGCAAGCCUGAUCCAGCCAUACCGCGUGGGUGAAGAAGGCCUUCGGGUUGUAAAGCCCUUUUGCUGGGAAAGAAAAGCAGCAGGUUAAUACCCCGCUGUUCUGACGGUACCCAAAGAAUAAGCACCGGCUAACUUCGUG
rnacentral:rRNA from 1 species